CCUACGGGCGGCUGCAGUGGGGAAUAUUGGACAAUGGGCGAAAGCCUGAUCCAGCCAUGCCGCGUGUGUGAAGAAGGCCUUCGGGUUGUAAAGCACUUUCAGUGGGGAAGAAAGCCUUGGGGCUAAUACCCUCGAGGAAGGACAUCACCCACAGAAGAAGCACCGGCUAACUCCGUGCCAGCAGCCGCGGUAAUACGGAGGGUGCGAGCGUUAAUCGGAAUUACUGGGCGUAAAGCGCGCGUAGGCGGUCUGAUAAGCCGGUUGUGAAAGCCCCGGGCUCAACCUGGGAACGGCAUCCGGAGCUGUCAGGCUAGAGUGCAGGAGAGGAAGGUAGAAUUCCCGGUGUAGCGGUGAAAUGCGUAGAGAUCGGGAGGAAUACCAGUGGCGAAGGCGGCCUUCUGGACUGACACUGACGCUGAGGUGCGAAAGCGUGGGUAGCAAACAGGAUUAGAUACCCCAGUAGUC
rnacentral:rRNA from 1 species